rnacentral:lncRNA from 1 species
UUCAGUGGUUGGUGGGUCAGAACUCCUGCUGCUUGGCUCCCUCCUGGAGACAGCCUAUACCACAGUGUCCUGCUUGCUUGAGUGAGCAGAGCCUCUACAUAUUCUCUCCAUGAGUACAGAGAAGCCUGCCAAUGUUGACAUCCGAGGCUGAGAUCAUAGGCUCCACUUUAGCUGCGAGUCAACCCACUCCCAGCCUGCUAGGUCUGUGCUCGCGUUUUACAGACAGGGAAGCUAAGCUCAGACAGCAGCAGCUGCUGCGGAAUAGUUCACCGGCUGCAGAUUGAUACCGAUGACAAUUGACUAUCAGCCCUGUGACCUGCAACUCUGCAGAUUGUGACACCAUCUCCAUUCUGCAUGGGUGUGAGUGGAGCCUGGGACUGCAGGCCACGCCUCCAGAGAGUAGACUGCCCACCUGGGUGCACCAGAAGUGCUGAGCACUGGACCCUGAAGGCUUCCUCUGUAAGCUGGCACUGAUACCCACCUCCCAGGGGCUGUGAAGGUUAGCUGAACUGUUCCCAGCAUUGCUUCCAACGAGUAGAUCCAGAAUUCUGGAGCUCAUGUUGCUUGCACCACAAAGGCAAAUGAUUAGAGACAAUCAUGAGGCUUUCCAUUAGGCUUUGUUCAGAGAGCUGGCCAUCAGAGAAGGCAGAACAUGAUGGAAAAUGCUUCACAUCUCACUUCCAGCCAGAAGAUUGUAUGGAGUCACAGGGACAGAGACAGCCAUUCCAAAGUUCAGGAUUGCCCCACUCUGGUCAGGUGACGUGAUUCUUAAAAUAAACU